rnacentral:rRNA from 1 species
GACGAACGCUGGCGGCGUGCUUAACACAUGCAAGUCGAACGGAAAGGCCCUGCUUUUGUGGGGUGCUCGAGUGGCGAACGGGUGAGUAACACGUGAGUAACCUGCCCUUGACUUUGGGAUAACUUCAGGAAACUGGGGCUAAUACCGGAUAGGAGCUCCUGCUGCAGGGUGGGGGUUGGAAAGUUUCGGCGGUUGGGGAUGGACUCGCGGCUUAUCAGCUUGUUGGUGGGGUAGUGGCUUACCAAGGCUUUGACGGGUAGCCGGCCUGAGAGGGUGACCGGACACAUUGGGACUGAGAUACGGCCCAGACUCCUACGGGAGGCAGCAGUGGGGAAUAUUGCACAAUGGGCGGAAGCCUAAUGCAGCAACGCCGCGUGCGGGAUGACGGCCUUCGGGUUGUAAACCGAUUUCGCCUGUGCCGAAGCGUGAGUGACGGUAAUGGGUAAAGAAGCACCGGCUAACUACGUG